AUAUGGAUUUGCAGAUGUUGCAGGGUUCGUAUGGUGCACCGCUUAGACGGCGCCUGUGCGACUACGUUGUUGCGCCCGGGGGUGGGAGGUUCGGGAAUGACAGAGGAAAGGGGUGAAAUAAACCAAAGUAUAUACAGUAUGACCCAAACGUGGGUCUUGGCACAGUGGCAUCGUGCCAUGGGGGAGGAGCGCUGAAACAGCGUCUCUGGUAUUGUGGCCGUUGGGCUCCCUUGUACACAAAGUUGCUGUCUCUCCUCAGAGCUAUAAGUCAAUAGCGACCUAGGUAUUGUGCAUGGCAUUCUCAGUGCUGGCCUGUGGGCAUGGGUGGGAGAAUCAAAUCGGACCCAAGGGAAGGUUUUGCGGGUCACCGCUUGGUGCCUAUCGUGGUUUUCCCACUUGUUGUGUCGGUCUUUAUGAUGGGGUGUGGUUCUCCCUUCGUAACUUUUGGAUGUGAUGAGCCAGGCUACGUAGUUGGGCGGGGCGGUGCGGUUGCAGUGGGUUUGACCUACUCGUAAAACAAUAGUUGGUUAUAUGGUGUCAUGUACAAUUUUCUCUCUAUGGACAAUGUCCCGGUAAAUUACAUAAUCGUUGUGCACCUUUGUACAUUUUUGGAGUACCUGUCUUAUGUAUGCAUAACCUCAACCUUGUAAAUAAUAGUUAGGUAUUAGGAUCACCUCCAACUACUGGUCUUUUCUUUGCCUAUACCAUGCCGCCCUUCCUUGUUGCCCAAAGUUUGCCCUGGUUAUCACUCAUGUGGGCAUCCCACCCGCCCACAUCCAACAAACCAUGCAUAGUGUGGUAUGAUUGUGUGGUAAGUGAAUAAAAUGCUAAUCAAAGCAGUUGAUCACAUGAAAAAGGAAAACUUAAACUAAACUUGUGAUAGCAAUUAGCAGUACAAUCGCAUGAAAAAGAAAAAACUUAAUCUAAACUUGUGAUAACAGUUAGCAGUACAUAUUAAUAUCUCACGUGUCCCUGGUUAUGGCCUGGACGGCCUAGUCCCUCAGGUGGAUCAUGGCGAUUUGUUCCGUGUUGGGACCUGGCGCCAUUCUGGUGUCAGACGUCUCGCUGGGCUUGCUUGAGUU